ACAUCAUCAGCAGCAUGUCUGCUAUGAUGA
rfam:Danio rerio chromosome 20, GRCz11 reference primary assembly.